rnacentral:rRNA from 1 species
ACGUGGACAACCUACCCUCGGGUCCGGCAUAAUCCUGGGAAACUGGGGAUAAUACCGGAUAGGUCUCCGAUGCUGGAAUGCUCGGUGGCCCAAAGCUCCGGCGCCCGAGGAUGGGUCUGCGGCCUAUCAGGGUUGUAGUGGGUGUAACGUACCUACUAGCCUACGACGGGUACGGGUUGUGAGAGCAAGAGCCCGGAGAUGGAUUCUGAGACACGAAUCCAGGCCCUACGGGGUGCAGCAGGCGCGAAAACUUUACAAUGCGGGAAACCGUGAUAAGGGGAUCUCAAGUGCCAGCAUAUAAUGUUGGCUGUCCAGAUGCCUAAAAAGCAUCUGUUAGCAAGGGCCGGGCAAGACCGGUGCCAGCCGCCGCGGUAACACCGGCGGGCCGAGUGGUAACCGCUAUUAUUGGGUCUAAAGGGUCUGUAGCCGGCCAUGUAAGUCCCUUGGGAAAUCUGGCAGCUCAACUGUCAGGCUGCUAGGGGAUAC